GGAUGCGAUCAUACCAGCACUAACACACCAGAUUCCAUCAGAAUUCCGAAGUUAAGCGUGCUUGGGCGAGAGUCAGUGGUGGAGUCAGGAUUUUCAUUGA
rnacentral:rRNA from 1 species